rnacentral:rRNA from 1 species
GGGUUGUGAGGUUAAGCGACUAAGCGUACACGGUGGAUGCCCUGGCAGUCAGAGGCGAUGAAGGACGUGCUAAUCUGCGAUAAGCGCCGGUAAGGUGAUAUGAACCGUUAUAACCGGCGAUUUCCGAAUGGGGAAACCCAGUGUGAUUCGUCACACUAUCAUUAACUGAAUCCAUAGGUUAAUGAGGCGAACCGGGGGAACUGAAACAUCUAAGUACCCCGAGGAAAAGAAAUCAACCGAGAUUCCCCCAGUAGCGGCGAGCGAACGGGGAGGAGCCCAGAGCCUGAAUCAGCAUGUGUGUUAGUGGAAGCGUCUGGAAAGGCGCGCGAUACAGGGUGACAGCCCCGUACACAAAAGCGCAUGUGCUGUGAGCUCGAUGAGUAGGGCGGGACACGUGGUAUCCUGUCUGAAUAUGGGGGGACCAUCCUCCAAGGCUAAAUACUCCUGACUGACCGAUAGUGAACCAGUACCGUGAGGGAAAGGCGAAAAGAACCCCGGCGAGGGGAGUGAAAAAGAACCUGAAACCGUGUACGUACAAGCAGUGGGAGCACAGGUUUACCUGUGUGACUGCGUACCUUUUGUAUAAUGGGUCAGCGACUUAUAUUCUGUAGCAAGGUUAACCGAAUAGGGGAGCCGGAGGGAAACCGAGUCUUAAUUGGGCGUUAAGUUGCAGGGUAUAGACCCGAAACCCGGUGAUCUAGCCAUGGGCAGGUUGAAGGUUGGGUAACACUAACUGGAGGACCGAACCGACUAAUGUUGAAAAAUUAGCGGAUGACCUGUGGCUGGGGGUGAAAGGCCAAUCAAACCGGGAGAUAGCUGGUUCUCCCCGAAAGCUAUUUAGGUAGCGCCUCGUGAACUCAUCUCCGGGGUAGAGCACUGUUUCGGCUAGGGGGCCAUCCCGGCUUACCAACCCGAUGCAAACUGCGAAUACCGGAGAAUGUUAUCACGGGAGACACACGGCGGGUGCUAACGUCCGUCGUGAAGAGGGAAACAACCCAGACCGCCAGCUAAGGUCCCAAAGUCAUGGUUAAGUGGGAAACGAUGUGGGAAGGCCCAGACAGCCAGGAUGUUGGCUUAGAAGCAGCCAUCAUUUAAAGAAAGCGUAAUAGCUCACUGGUCGAGUCGGCCUGCGCGGAAGAUGUAACGGGGCUAAACCAUGCACCGAAGCUGCGGCAGCGACACUGUGUGUUGUUGGGUAGGGGAGCGUUCUGUAAGCCUGUGAAGGUGGCCUGUGAGGGUUGCUGGAGGUAUCAGAAGUGCGAAUGCUGACAUAAGUAACGAUAAAGCGGGUGAAAAGCCCGCUCGCCGGAAGACCAAGGGUUCCUGUCCAACGUUAAUCGGGGCAGGGUGAGUCGACCCCUAAGGCGAGGCCGAAAGGCGUAGUCGAUGGGAAACAGGUUAAUAUUCCUGUACUUGGUGUUACUGCGAAGGGGGACGGAGAAGGCUAUGUUGGCCGGGCGACGGUUGUCCCGGUUUAAGCGUGUAGGCUGGUUUUCCAGGCAAAUCCGGAAAAUCAAGGCUGAGGCGUGAUGACGAGGCACUACGGUGCUGAAGCAACAAAUGCCCUGCUUCCAGGAAAAGCCUCUAAGCAUCAGGUAACAUCAAAUCGUACCCCAAACCGACACAGGUGGUCAGGUAGAGAAUACCAAGGCGCUUGAGAGAACUCGGGUGAAGGAACUAGGCAAAAUGGUGCCGUAACUUCGGGAGAAGGCACGCUGACACGUAGGUGAAGUGAUUUACUCAUGGAGCUGAAGUCAGUCGAAGAUACCAGCUGGCUGCAACUGUUUAUUAAAAACACAGCACUGUGCAAACACGAAAGUGGACGUAUACGGUGUGACGCCUGCCCGGUGCCGGAAGGUUAAUUGAUGGGGUCAGCGCAAGCGAAGCUCCUGAUCGAAGCCCCGGUAAACGGCGGCCGUAACUAUAACGGUCCUAAGGUAGCGAAAUUCCUUGUCGGGUAAGUUCCGACCUGCACGAAUGGCGUAAUGAUGGCCAGGCUGUCUCCACCCGAGACUCAGUGAAAUUGAACUCGCUGUGAAGAUGCAGUGUACCCGCGGCAAGACGGAAAGACCCCGUGAACCUUUACUAUAGCUUGACACUGAACAUUGAGCCUUGAUGUGUAGGAUAGGUGGGAGGCUUUGAAGCGUGGACGCCAGUCUGCGUGGAGCCGACCUUGAAAUACCACCCUUUAAUGUUUGAUGUUCUAACGUGGACCCGUAAUCCGGGUUGCGGACAGUGUCUGGUGGGUAGUUUGACUGGGGCGGUCUCCUCCUAAAGAGUAACGGAGGAGCACGAAGGUUGGCUAAUCCUGGUCGGACAUCAGGAGGUUAGUGCAAUGGCAUAAGCCAGCUUGACUGCGAGCGUGACGGCGCGAGCAGGUGCGAAAGCAGGUCAUAGUGAUCCGGUGGUUCUGAAUGGAAGGGCCAUCGCUCAACGGAUAAAAGGUACUCCGGGGAUAACAGGCUGAUACCGCCCAAGAGUUCAUAUCGACGGCGGUGUUUGGCACCUCGAUGUCGGCUCAUCACAUCCUGGGGCUGAAGUAGGUCCCAAGGGUAUGGCUGUUCGCCAUUUAAAGUGGUACGCGAGCUGGGUUUAGAACGUCGUGAGACAGUUCGGUCCCUAUCUGCCGUGGGCGCUGGAGAACUGAGGGGGGCUGCUCCUAGUACGAGAGGACCGGAGUGGACGCAUCACUGGUGUUCGGGUUGUCAUGCCAAUGGCACUGCCCGGUAGCUAAAUGCGGAAGAGAUAAGUGCUGAAAGCAUCUAAGCACGAAACUUGCCCCGAGAUGAGUUCUCCCUGAGACUUAGAGUCUCCUGAAGGAACGUUGAAGACGACGACGUUGAUAGGCCGGGUGUGUAAGCGCAGCGAUGCGUUGAGCUAACCGGUACUAAUGAACCGUGAGGCUUAACCUUACAACGCCGAAG